UCAGCAAUCAUCCAAUCAAUCAUCUAUAAAAAGCGAAAUAAAAAGGCAAGCAGUAAUCCUCAGCGCACUAAAGCACAAAGGUGUGCAAAACAGUUUCAAUUGCCCAACUAAUUGUGUUCGAAGCAGUUUGCUUUUGCAAAAUCUUCACAAGGCGUUAAUGUAAUCAGAACAUUAGAGUGACAAUCUUAAUGCGUUUAUAUAGUAAGGGAAAAAUUCAGAGAUGUACCUACCCACACCGAGCUUCUACAGUCUUCAAAAAUGUACUACAUUUUCCUUGAGCUAUGUCUAUUACAAUUUGUAGUUCACGAUCCAUUCACGAAGUACAUAUACUUAAAACUAAACUAAA